CAGCCAGACCUUCCCCCAGCCCCGAGUCAGUCUUCAGCCAACCAGUGUUGAGAGCUGAAUCGAGUGAACGCGGUGCUGCCAGAGAUCCAUUACAGUGUUGGUGACAGUGUUAGUUGUUGAUGUGCUUGUGGUGGUGUUGGUGGUGGUAGUGGUGGUGAGAUGGUGGUCGUGGCGUGCAGCUAGACCCGGCAGCCACACCCUCCUACGACUGGGACUUCUUCCUCUCCAGCUGACGACCACUACGACUACGACCCUUGUUGGUGUCGCUGCUGCAUUUACUUCUGCUACUGUGAAAGGUGAGCUUCUGCGUCAGUGUCAAGGUGGUAGUUCUGAAGGGGUUGACCCGAGGCGAAGAUUCAGGUAACAGGUCUUGAGUGACUGGAUGGUAGUCUGUGGAUGCGAGUGUUUGUGGCAAGCGAAACGAGGCAGCCGAGACGUGUGUGUGUGGAGCGUGGCGAGGUGCGUGUCGUGCAGAUGUAGUGAGAGUAUGCUCCUCCACCCUGCUGCCUCCACCACCUCUGUUCCCCGCCGCUGCCCCGCCGCCUCCCGCCCGCCUGCAGCCGCCCGUCCCCGUGGUCGCCGAACUUCAACCUUCACCGGUACACCAGCGAUGCGAGACGCGCCGCCACGCUACGCUGUGUCGGGUCUGCUUGGCUUACAGACCCGGGAAAGGAUUGAUAUAUAUUGCGUUUUCUUAACCAAUGUAAAUAUAUAUUGCGAUUUUUUUUUUUUUACAA